rnacentral:rRNA from 1 species
GGGAGAGGCAAGCGUUAUCCGGAAUUAUUGGGCGUAAAGCGUCCGCAGGCGGUUAAUCAAGUCUGUUGUCAAAGCGUGGGGCUCAACCUCAUACAGGCAAUGGAAACUGAUUGACUAGAGUAUGGUAGGGGUAGCGGGAAUUCCAGGUGUAGCGGUGAAAUGCGUAGAUAUCUGGAAGAACACCAGCGGCGAAAGCGCGCUACUGGGCCAUAACUGACGCUCAUGGACGAAAGCUAGGGGAGCGAAAGGGAUUAGAUACCCCUGUAGUCCUAGCCGUAAACGAUGAACACUAGGUGUUGCGUGAAUCGACCCGCGCAGUCCCGUAGCCAACGCGUUAAGUGUUCCGCCUGGGGAGUACGCACGCAAGGUUGAAACUCAAAGGAAUUGACGGGGGCCCGCACAAGCGGUGGAGUAUGUGGUUUAAUUCGAUGCAACGCGAAGAACCUUACCAGGGUUUGACAUCCCCCGAAUCUCUUGGAAACGAGAGAGUGCCUUCGGGAGCGGGGAGACAGGUGGUGCAUGGCUGUCGUCAGCUCGUGUCGUGAGAUGUUGGGUUAAGUCCCGCAACGAGCGCAACCCACGUUUUUAGUUGCCAUCACUUCAGUUGGGCACUCUAGAGAAACUGCCGGUGACAAACCGGAGGAAGGUGUGGACGACGUCAAGUCAUCAUGCCCCUUACAUCCUGGGCUACACACGUACUACAAUGCUCCGGACAGCGAGACGCGAAGCCGCGAGGUGAAGCAAAUCUCCCAAACCGGGGCUCAGUUCAGAUUGCAGGCUGCAACUCGCCUGCAUGAAGGCGGAAUCGCUAGUAAUCGCAGGUCAGCAUACUGCGGUGAAUACGUUCCCGGGCCUU